UAGCUCAGUGGUUAAGAGCACUGGUUAUUCUUCCAGAGGACCUGGGUUCAAUUCCCAG
rfam:Neotoma lepida isolate 417 scaffold_1153, whole genome shotgun sequence.